UGAUCGGCCACAUUGGGACUGAGACACGGCCCAAACUCCUACGGGAGGCAGCAGUAGGGAAUCUUCCACAAUGGACGCAAGUCUGAUGGAGCAACGCCGCGUGAGUGAAGAAGGCUUUCGGGUCGUAAAACUCUGUUGUUGGAGAAGAAUGGUCGGCAGAGUAACUGUUGUCGGCGUGACGGUAUCCAACCAGAAAGCCACGGCUAACUACGUGCCAGCAGCCGCGGUAAUACGUAGGUGGCAAGCGUUAUCCGGAUUUAUUGGGCGUAAAGCGAGCGCAGGCGGUUUUUUAAGUCUGAUGUGAAAGCCCUCGGCUUAACCGAGGAAGCGCAUCGGAAACUGGGAAACUUGAGUGCAGAAGAGGACAGUGGAACUCCAUGUGUAGCGGUGAAAUGCGUAGAUAUAUGGAAGAACACCAGUGGCGAAGGCGGCUGUCUGGUCUGUAACUGACGCUGAGGCUCGAAAGCAUGGGUAGCGAACAGGAUUAGAUACCCUGGUAGUCCAUGCCGUAAACGAUGAGUGCUAAGUGUUGGGAGGUUUCCGCCUCUCAGUGCUGCAGCUAACGCAUUAAGCACUCCGCCUGGGGAGUACGACCGCAAGGUUGAAACUCAAAGGAAUUGACGGGGGCCCGCACAAGCGGUGGAGUAUGUGGUUUAAUUCGAAGCAACGCGAAGAACCUUACCAGGUCUUGACAUCCCGAUGCUAUUUCUAGAGAUAGGAAGUUACUUCGGUACAUCGGUGACAGGUGGUGCAUGGUUGUCGUCAGCUCGUGUCGUGAGAUGUUGGGUUAAGUCCCGCAACGAGCGCAACCCUUAUGACUAGUUGCCAGCAUUUAGUUGGGCACUCUAGUAAGACUGCCGGUGACAAACCGGAGGAAGGUGGGGAUGACGUCAAAUCAUCAUGCCCCUUAUGACCUGGGCUACACACGUGCUACAAUGGAUGGUACAACGAGUUGCGAGACCGCGAGGUCAAGCUAAUCUCUUAAAGCCAUUCUCAGUUCGGACUGUAGGCUGCAACUCGCCUACACGAAGUCGGAAUCGCUAGUAAUCGCGGAUCAGCACGCCGCGGUGAAUACGUUCCCGGGCCUUGUACACACCGCCCGUCACACCAUGAGAGUUUGUAACACCCGAAGCCGGUGGCGUAACCCUUUUAGGGAGCGAGCCGUCUAAGGUGGGACAAAUGAUUAGGGUGAAGUCGUAACAAGGUAGCCGUAGGAGAACCUGCGGCUG
rnacentral:rRNA from 1 species